rnacentral:lncRNA from 11 species
GGCAGGGGAUAGUAGAAUCCUUUGGUGACUGUUUUAUCCCUGCCUUUCCCAGAUAACACAUCAGAUCCUCCAGUGGCAUCACUUUCCUCAAUGUUGCAUCUGGAACAGUUCCAUAAUGUAGCAGAGAAAAGUUGAAACGGAGGAAUAGCCACUGCAAAAAAGUGACAAGUUUUCAAAGGUCUGGGGGCAAGGGAAGGUUGAGUGUUGGAUGCUGAUGUCGCAGCAGUGGCACUUGCACAGCUGUGCUCACCUGGCACAUGGCGCUUUCAGCUGCUACUUUCAUCUGUAUGUUUAUGAAGAUGCUUCUGAAAAAGGGGGG